ensembl:rRNA 5S_rRNA 5S ribosomal RNA
GCUCACAGACAUACCACCCUGAAUGUGUCCAAGCUCUUCUGAUCUCAAAAGCUAAGCACAAUUGAGCCUAGUUAGUACUUGAAUGGGAGACUGCCUGGGGAUACCAAGUGCUGUAGGCU